AAGAUUUUAAUGAUCGAACAGAUCAAAAUUUUAAACUUUUGCAUUUAAAUUUUAUCUUAAUCCAACAUCGAGGUCGCAAACUUUUUUUUUUUUUGGUACUAAAAAAAAAAAUUACG
rnacentral:rRNA from 1 species